GGCUCGGUGGCGGAUGGUCCGCGCCUGCAAAUAUUAUACUGGACCGUGGAUGUAUUUAAGCAGGAAUCCUCGUUCGAUUCGAGGCCGAGCCA